rnacentral:rRNA from 1 species
GACGAACCGUGCGAACGUUAUUCGGAAUCACUGGGCUUAAAGCGCGUGUAGGCGGGACGGCACGUCGGUCGCUGAAAUCCCCCGGCUCAACCGGGGAACGGGCACCGAUACGACCGGCCUGGAGGGACGUAGGGGGACCUGGAACUUCCGGUGGAGCGGUGAAAUGCGCUGAGAUCGGAAGGAACGCCCGUGGCGAAAGCGAGGUCCUGGACGUUUACUGACGCUGAGACGCGAAAGCCAGGGGAGCGAACGGG